rnacentral:tRNA from 1 species
GCCUGGGUGGCUCAGUCGGUGGAGCGUCCGACUUUGGCUCGGGUCAUGAUCUCACAGUCUGUGAGUUCGAGCCCCGCGUCGGGCU